GAGACAUUAACCCAUUUCCAUUUCUUUUACCACAUAAAGAAAUUAACUAUUUUGCCAAUAAAAUAACCAUAAAUAACAAAAUACAGCCAUAAAAGGAGAGCUGAUCCAAGCAACAUGCUCAAAACAGGAAGACUUGACAGCUAAAUCUGACUCAGAUAAAAGCUGGAAAAUUAUCGCUUCAAAAAGAGAAGCAUAAACAGGAAAUACAUACAUUAUUUUCUUUAUUUA
rnacentral:misc_RNA from 1 species